UUAACGUAUAUAAAUUGAGUAUUAUUGUCUGUGUAUUGUUCCGAUUGUUUGGACUGAUACCAGGAUGCUUCGUUGGAUCAUUAUAGCUGCUCUUUUUGCCAUGGUAAGCGCACAGUGUAACGACUUUGCUUUCCAGUAUGAAUGUCUGCAGAACGCAAACCGAAAGUUGUCCGUCUGUAAGCAGUGUGAGAAUUCUUUGGUGUCCAAACUACAAUGUGAACUAAACUGCCUACAGGACGCGUAUAGAAGAGUAACGCAUUGUAUCAUUCUGGAGUGAAAAACAGCAACCUGAGAAAAACGUUGUCUGUGUCUUAUUGAGUACUUUGUUUCUAUAGGUUUUUGUUUUUUUUUAAAUAAAUCGAUGUCAAUUGUCA